AUAAAUAUCUAUAUUUCUUUACCAAUUUAUGUACAUUCCCCCUGCUAAAAAAACUUCCCCCUUAUUGGCAUUCAUGACAAUUUCUCAUUUUAGCCGUACCCCUAAUCGUAAACAGCAAAUAAAUGUCAGUUAACAUUACGAAAUCAAGCAAAAAUCAAAGCAAAACCAAAGCUAAAGCAAAAGCAAGAGCAACCUGCUUGGGGACUGUCGAUUUAUGUGGCCGCAACACAGCUUUUUUCCUACCUUUUUUUGUGUGACAAACAGAAAAUAGAGAAGAGAAGAAACCAAAUACUGAGUGACAAGCGAAUGAAACUUAAUCAACAUUUGGCCAACAUCAAAUUGGAUUGCGUACGAGGCUGGGAAAUGUCUAAGAGGAGGAGACGCAGCAGGGGAAAUGUUCACCAGAUUGAAGGCGGAGUGGAAAAUGCUUAGAGAAAAGCCAGCAACUAGUCGUAAUGAAAACGUUAUCAAGCGACAGCCAGUAACAAGAUGGGGAAAAACGAGGACAUAGGCAAAAUUAGCUGCGUUUGCUGGCUGUGGCUUUGGCUGUCCAACCAAAUGGUAGGCCAAUCAGUGUGUGCCACAAUUUGGCCAAAGAAACAACCAGAAAACUGGUCAAGUCACCAAGAUGCCAUCGCAAUGGAGUGUAGUGCAGUGGAGCUCUGGUUGUUAGCAGGUCUCCUCCUUGCGACUCCAGAUGUUCGAUGCUGGAUGCUGGACACUGGCAUCUGUUACACCAUUCGAUCUGUUGACGGUUGCACUUGUCGCGAUUUCACAUCAGUUUUUUGUGCUCUUUUCUGUUGUUGGUGGAUUGCCUACUUUUCAACGUCUUGUACUUUCGAUUGGUUAAUUGUUAAACAAAUUUGAAAUGUU
rnacentral:sRNA from 1 species